rnacentral:lncRNA from 1 species
GUUUACAAGGGCUCUGAAUGGAAGAUAAUUGAAAAGAUACUACCCCAGUAUAUGGGUAGGUGCUUAGCCGAUGAUGUUGCAUAUAGAGCUUUCACGGUCGAUGCAUACGGAUUCGCGUUCAUAUAGCCGAUGCAGGCGGCGUCGCCUUAAGUUUGAAGGAGACGAAAAAGGAUUUAUAUAAAUAAACCGAUCGGUAUUCGGUACUUCAAUUGGAUACAUGGCCGACA